AUUGAACGCUGGCGGCAGGCCUAACACAUGCAAGUCGAGCGGAUGAAGGGAGCUUGCUCCUGGAUUCAGCGGCGGACGGGUGAGUAAUGCCUAGGAAUCUGCCUGGUAGUGGGGGAUAACGUCCGGAAACGGGCGCUAAUACCGCAUACGUCCUGAGGGAGAAAGUGGGGGAUCUUCGGACCUCACGCUAUCAGAUGAGCCUAGGUCGGAUUAGCUAGUUGGUGGGGUAAAGGCCUACCAAGGCGACGAUCCGUAACUGGCCUGAGAGGAUGAUCAGUCACACUGGAACUGAGACGCGGUCCAGACUCCUACGGGAGGCAGCAGUGGGGAAUAUUGGACAAUGGGCGAAAGCCUGAUCCAGCCAUGCCGCGUGUGUGAAGAAGGUCUUCGGAUCGUAAAGCACUUUAAGUUGGGAGGAAGGGCAGUAAGUUAAUACCUUGCUGUUUUGACGUUACCAACAGAAUAAGCACCGGCUAACUUCGUG
rnacentral:rRNA from 1 species